rnacentral:rRNA from 1 species
UGGGGAAUAUUGCGCAAUGGGGGGAACCCUGACGCAGCCAUGCCGCGUGAAUGAAGAAGGCCUUAGGGUUGUAAAGUUCUUUCGGUAUUGAGGAAGGUUGAUGUGUUAAUAGCACAUCAAAUUGACGUUAAAUACAGAAGAAGCACCGGCUAACUCCGUGCCAGCAGCCGCGGUAAUACGGAGGGUGCGAGCGUUAAUCGGAAUAACUGGGCGUAAAGGGCACGCAGGCGGUUAUUUAAGUGAGGUGUGAAAGCCCCGGGCUUAACCUGGGAAUUGCAUUUCAGACUGGGUAACUAGAGUACUUUAGGGAGGGGUAGAAUUCCACGUGUAGCGGUGAAAUGCGUAGAGAUGUGGAGGAAUACCGAAGGCGAAGGCAGCCCCUUGGGAAUGUACUGACGCUCAUGUGCGAAAGCGUGGGGAGUAAACAGGAUUAGAUACCCUGGUAGUCCACGCUGUAAACGCUGUCGAUUUGGGGGUUGGGGUUUAACUCUGGCGCCCGUAGCUAACGUGAUAAAUCGACCGCCUGGGGAGUACGGCCGCAAGGUUA